AUGCAAUUUUGUUUUAGGUUUACGGUCUAGAAUUCAGUUAACUUGAUGAGGUAAAUCCAAGAUUAUUAGUUUGUUAUUGUUUUUUGUUCUAGGUUGACUCUUUGGUCGAACUUGAUCAUUUUUUGAAGACAGUAUCUGAUUAAGUCUGUUUUAUGGAAUAAUAAUACUACAAAAUUAGUAUGCGACUAACUAAUUUGUAGUGAGCAUUCCUAGAACUCGACAAAAUAGGAUUAUUGUGGUUCAAAAAAUGGUCAAAAGUUCCUAAUUAAAGAGCGCCAUGAGACGAGCAACUCAAGUUCAUCAGUUGAGAUGUUAAGAGCUUUGUAUGGGAAAUUUCUCCCCAUAGUUGAUGAACAAACACCAACAGAGCCACUCAAAGUGCUAGAAAGUGUCAUCGAGGAUAGCUACAACAAAUCCAAUGUAAAUCUGCAUGAUGAAACUCAGUAUAGUAGAACUCAUUGCAGAUUUGCUGAGCUUUCUGCAAGAAAACCAAAUAAAGGAGUGCGAGAAGACAAUACGCCUUAAGCCCCCAUUUUGAGUCCAGACUUGCUUAUUUCUAGAGUGCAAAUUGAAAUGCCAGAUAAAAUAUACUUAAGUUGGGAACUUACCCAAAAGAAGGUGGGUUCAAUACACGUAUGUUUGGAAUUUCGUGUUUAGUUUGGAUCUCCUUAUGAGGAUGGGCCAUGAGCUUGCCCACCAUUUUUAUAACUAACAUUUAAUUUGAGCUAGAUGACUUUCAGCCCUCUGGGCAGAUUCAAAAGUUUGGCCUCAUUCUCAAUAUCUUUUUCAUCACUAGUACAUCAGGACAUUUAAGGAAUGAAGAUGGACCAACCCAAGCUCCAAUCUCCAACUUGAAAUAGUACCUUGAACUAGAUGCAUUCGUGCGAUGAAUGAGUCGACUCGACCCCGGAAGACUUUUCUUUCUUCUUCCCACCAUUUUUGUUUAUCAGUUU